AUGGCCAUGGAGACGGCUCUUGUUACCGUGGCCACAGGGGUCCUCAAACCUGUCCUGGGGAAGCUGGUUGUUCUGCUCGGCAACGAGUACAAGCGGUUCAAGGGUGUGCGCAAGGGGAUCAGGUCCCUUACUCAUGAGCUCGGCGCCAUGGAGGCUUUUCUCACCAAGAUGUCAGAGGAGGAGGAUCCCAAUGUGCAGGAUAAAGUUUGGAUGAAUGAGGUGCGGGAACUGUCCUAUGACAUGGAAGACGCCAUCGAUGACUUCAUGCAAAGCAUCGGUGACAAAGACGAAAAGCCAGAUGGCUUCAUUGAUAAGAUCAAGAGCUCACUAGGGAAGUUGGGGAAGAUGAAGGCUCGCCGUCGGAUUGGCAGAGAGAUUCAGGAUCUGAAGAAACAGAUCAUCGAGGUGGGCGACAGGAAUGCAAGGUACAAGAGUCGUGAGACCUUCUCCAAGACUAUCAAUGCGACCGUUGACCCUAGAGCUCUUGCUAUCUUUGAGCAUGCCUCAAAGCUUGUUGGAAUCGAUGAACCCAAGGCUGAGGUAAUCAAGUUGUUGACAGAAGAGUAUGUUCGUUCAACAGUGCAGCAACAACAGCUACAACAACUGAAGAUAUUCUCCAUUGUUGGAUAUGGAGGUAUGGGCAAGACAACUCUGGCAAACCAAGUCUAUCAAGAGCUCAAAGGACAAUACGAGUGUCGGGCUUUCGUAUCAGUUUCACGAAAUCCAGACGUGACGAAUAUCUUGAGAACCAUUCUCAGUGAAGUCGCUAAGAAAGAUUAUGGUUGUACGGAAGGGGGGAGUAUACAACAACUCAUCAACAAGAUCACUGAUUUCCUAACAGACAAAAGGUACUUUGUUGUUGUUGACGAUAUAUGGGACGUGGAUACGUGGGAUAUUAUUAAGUGUGCAUUCCCAGCAACAACUUAUACCCGUAGAAUAAUCACCACUACUCGUAUAAACAGUGUCGCUCAUUCAUGUUUAUCAUCAUUCAAUGGCUGCAUUUACAAUAUAAGGGCUCUUGGUAUGGUGCACUCAAGACAGUUAUUUCACAGAAGGUUAUUCAAGUCUAUUGAAGAUUGCCCUUCAUACCUUCAAGAAAUUUCUGAGCAGAUAAUGAAAAAAUGCCAUGGGUUACCUUUGGCGAUCAUUGCUAUAUCUGGUUUGUUGGCUAACACAGAAAAAACAGAAGUUCUAUGGAAUCAAGUGAAAGAUUCAAUUGGUCGUGCACUUGAAAGGAAUCCCAACGUCGAAGGAAUGAUGAAGAUAUUAUCACUUAGUUACUUUGAUCUGCCUCUUUAUCUAAAAACAUGUCUCUUAUAUCUGAGCACAUAUCUAGAAGAUUCAACUAUCAAGAAGAAGGGCCUGAUAAGAAGAUGGAUUGCUGAAGGAUUCAUUCAUAGCGAGGGUAGAUACACGGCAUAUGAGUUAGGAGAAAGGUGUUUUAACGAACUACUCAAUAGGGGUUUGAUCCAACCUGGGGAGACAAAUGACUAUGGCAUAGUGAAGAGUUGUCGAGUUCAUGACACAAUUCUUGAUUUCAUCAUAUCCAAGUCCAUAGAAGAGAACUUUGUUACUUUACUUGGUGUUCCCAUUCCGACAAUUGGAAACCAAGGCAAAGUUGUUCGUCGACUUUGUCUACAAGGUGUCGAGGCAGGAAAUUCAGCAGUAUUGAUAGCAGAUCUCGUGUUUUCCCAUGUCCGAUCACUUAUUGUGGUUAGAGGUCUAUUGGAAAUCCCUUCUUUGGAGCAGUUCAGACAUCUGCGUGUUCUUGACUUGAUGGAUUGCUCCGAAUUGGAAGAUCAUCAUCUUGAAAAUAUAGUGAGGUUGUUCCAGCUGAGGUACCUGAAUCUCAAAGGUGCAGAAAUAAGCAAGCUCCCAGAACAAAUUGGUAGUUUAGGAUGCUUAGAGGUGCUGGACCUAAGAGGGACUUCUGUAAAGGAAUUACCUGCAUCUAUUGUUAAUCUCAGAAAAUUGAUGCAUCUACUUGUUGGUCAUGAUGGUGUUAAAUUUCCUGAUGGGAUUGCAAAGAUGCAAGCACUAGAGACGUUAAAAUAUGUCAAUGCCUCCAUUCAGCCAUUAGACUUCAUGUGCGGCCUUGGUCAACUAAUGAAUUUGAGGAAUCUGCAGCUUAUGUUUGAUUUCGGGAUCACAAAUAUGGCUAGGAAGGAGCACAACAAAGCUAUUAUCUCCUCCAUGUGUAAGCUUGGCACCCAGAAUAUUCGUUCCCUGAUUAUUCGGGAUGAGAGUGGCCUCUUAGAUGACGAAUCUUUGUGCCUGCCUACCCUCGAGUACCUUUCUAUCCAUUUUCUGAUCUUCUCAGAGGUUCCGACAUGGGUGGGUUCCCUCAGAAACCUCCAACGGCUACGCCUUGCUGUGGAGGGGCUCAAGCAGGACGACCUCUGCUCCCUUGGGGCUUUACCCAGUCUACUCGUUCUGUGUCUGGAUGAUGAAACAAAGUCAAACGAAAAGCUCAGAAUCAAUGGUGAAGUUGGGUUCCGAUUCUUGAAGAUUUUUGUUUAUUGCAGAUGUUUUAAACCAGCAGAUCUGAUUUUUGGGAUAGGGUCCAUGCCAAAGCUUGAAAAACUAGAGCUUAAUGAGCUUCACAUGGUUGAAGCUAACUCUCUCGGCUUUGGAAUUGAGAACCUCCCUUGCCUCACUAGUGUCAAAUGCAUUGUUGUUCGCGGUGAUGCUGGCAUUGCUGAAGCCGUGAAGUCAGCCAUGAAGAGAGCAGCCAGCACGCAUCCCAACCACCCUAGUCUACGCUUUUCGUGA
rnacentral:rRNA from 1 species